GUGUGGGAACGUAGCUUUUUGACUUUACAGAGCAUCCAAAGGACACUUCAGUUGCUUUGAGUCUGUGAAUAGGCAAUCAGAUCUCAGCCUCAGAGAAUGACGGAUUUUCUGCCAGAUCACAGGAUUUGCAUACUGGGAGUUAACUGCCUCCCCGCUCCGGCCAGUAGAAAACAGCAAGCAGUGUGAAAUAUCCUUGCUCUGUAGCCAAGCAAGAAGCAGGAAAUCAACUCACAAAAGAAAAGGCUGCCUUAGAGAACUUGCAAUACAGAAGUAAGUGUGUGCCUGCCAGUCUGCAGUGACCGUGUUCAAACCAGGCUGUACUGCUCCUAUCAACUAACAGGAACAGGCAGCUGCAUCAGGGAAAGUUGCAGAAAUGAGACUUGGAAAUGAGCUGGUUGAGUCCUAUAAAGCCACUGGUCAGGACACAAAAGCUACAGCAUCUUCAUUCUACUGCCUUUGGGAGUAAAACUUAUUUCUGUCCACUCUUCAAAAGGUUAGACACACUGAAAAGUGCAAGUCCUGCAAAAAGCCUAGCAAUGUUCAACAUGAAAAGGAGCAACACACAACUGCAACCAAUGGUGAAGCUGCAGCAAAUCCAAACCACUGUAUUUAGCUUGGAAGUACUGCUAAGAGGCAGAAAGAAUAUUGUAAGCUGCAAAAGGAGAAUGUGCAGAGAGAUCAAGAUCUCUGCUGUGGCCUGCACCUCAAGAUCUCCAUCAGCACACAGCAAUCAAAACACAACAUUUCUCCUUCAGUCCCUACUGCAGAAACAGGGCCUCAGUUUUUGAUCACCUAAUCAUAAAAUAAUUUAUGAAAGUGGUAGCAGGUGUGCAAAGGGAGAAUCCUGUAAGCUGAGCAUGUCUGGGGGGGGCAAAGAGGGGAUGUGGGGGGCAAAAUAAAGUUAAGGCAGUACUGACAGCAUGUGCAAAAGAGAGCAUCUCUCCUCCUUUAUAAUAAGUAAACAGGUGGAAAUACUCAAGUGUAUCUCCUUCCUGUUGAUAGAUUGCCAACUAUCCACUUAACUGCUGUUGUCUCCUCAGUUCUUACUUUGUAACCUAUCAUUAGCUGUUUAAUUAACUGGAAUUUUCCUAAUUUCUAAUAUAUCCACUUGCAAAGUUUAACCUGCUAGCAAAGAAAUAAAUACAGUUAAACAUUUCUGCCAUGAAAGCUGUGCAUUAAACACUCUAAAAGCUC